UUCUGAAAAAUGUUCUGUUUUUUCUCCCUCUGCUUGCUUCUUACUGUCUUUGAGGCCCAUCGGGACCAGCACUCCUGUUGUUGGACAGAAAGACAUCAACUCAGUGACUUGAGAUAUGACUGCACUAUGCUGUUGCUGGUGACUCCAGUUAAUUCUACAAGACAUGCUGUGACAACAGGAGAGAUGAGUCCUCCGUCACAGAUGGUGUGGUCAGUGAAGAUGGUCGCCUGCAGGUUCAAGCUCAUUGCAUCUCCAACCCACAUCCACUGCCACUGUACUGAAGGGAAGUUAAAGACUUUCUUCUGCACCUACAUUUGGAUCACCUCGAUCCAUGACAGUCAUUCAGGCAGUAAUGCCUGGACUGGAAACAAGCGUCCUUAAAAUAUUACAACAUUCCAGCUCAUGUGUUGGAAUGGAAAACAAAUGUGUUGUUUAAAUUAGAGACUGCACUUGUGACAGAACAACAAAUAUUUUAUUUUGAUUAUAUAAGUAAUGUAAGUACAAAACAAACUUGUGGUAGGCCUAAACUUAUUUUCAGAAUAAUUACAU